rnacentral:lncRNA from 1 species
UCCUUUUUCAUAUAAAAAAUAGAGAUUCGGGUCGUCAUUAAUCAUUUGAUAGAGUAUUUCAGUACAUAUACGUAUGUCUAUACGUUUAUCCUUCAUCCUUUUGGAAGUUUCAAUGGAAGGAUUCCUCUACCAAUGCAACACAUUCCACUCCAUUUGUUAGAACAGCUUCCAUUGAGUCUCUACACCUAUCCCUUUAUUUCUAUAUAAAAGAUAUGUAAAAGAUAUAUAUGUCCUAUCAUCUGUAACAAUUAUUGAGUAGAG